rnacentral:lncRNA from 1 species
AGAUGCUGCGGUAGUCCUUGCGGAUGGCCCAGAGGACCUCGGCGCAUUUCCUCAUGGGGGGCCUGUCGCGCCUGGUCGGGGCGAGGCACUGCAGCGCCAGCUCGAAGACCUUCUCCAGCGCGAAGCUCGUCGCCGGCGUCGGCGGCAGGUUCGGAUCCAGCGACUUGAGCGCGUUCCCCUCCGUAAACCUCUUCAUCGCCUGCAACCAACCCAUCAAGAUUUCCCCUUUUUUCUUAGCAGCCCUUUCCUUCUUCUUCCUCUUCUUCUUCUUCUUCUCGAUCUGAUCCAGAAGAAGAAAUGGAGGAGGAGAGGAGCGGAGAUGGGGGAGGGCGCUGACCCAGGUGGAGGUUAUCCGCUCUCUGAUCUCCCUCUUCGUCUCGAUGGGCCUCCUCCCGGUCAUGAGCUCCACCAGCAGGACGCCGAAGGAGUAGACGUCGCUCUUCUCGGUGAGCUGGUAGGUGCGGAGGUACUCCGGGUCGAGGUAGCCGGCGGUGCCCUUGACCUGCGUCGAGAUGUGGGUGACGCCGGCGUCCACGGGGGUCAUGCGGGCGAAGCCGAAGUCGGCCACCUUCGCCCGCAGGCUGUCAGUGAGGAGGAUGUUCGACGAUUUGAUGUCUCGGUGGAUGAUCGGGUCGUCUUGCAGGAAAAAGGAUGGAGGAGGAGGACGAUCAGAAGCCGGCGGCGGAGGAGCAGCAGCAGAGCUCGUCGGAGGAGGAGGAGGAAGGGGGGGAGAGAGAGAGAGAGAGACGGCGGCCUACCGGCGUACAUGUGGAGGUAGGUGACGGCGUGUGCGACGUCGAUGGCGAUGUCCAGCCGGGAGGUGAGAUCGGGAGGGUCCCCCCGCAGGCCUGCGGCGGUCGCCAUGGAAGAAGCAGAUCAGUUCGAUGGUCAGCUGCUGAAGCCCAACUCGAGGGCGACCGGAGGUGAUCCGUCGGUCCAUCUCCACCUGAACCAGAGGGUCUGGAGCAUCCUCUCGCGGUGCUGGAUUGGGAAAUGGGGAGGGAGAACCAGAGCGGCGGCGAUGGAGGGAGGAGGUGGGGGCGGGGGGGAACUCACCGUCGAGAUGCUCCCGGAGGGUCCCGUUGGGGACGUACUCGAUGACGACGACCCUCUCGUCCUCGUGCUCCAGGUAUCCGUAGAAUCUGACCAGGUUCAGGUGCUCGAUGCAGGCCAGGAUCUGGAUCUCGCUCUUGAAUUCCACCCCGAGGUGCUUGUCGUGGAUGCUCUGCGAGAAGAGGAAGAGGAAGAAGAAAGAGAAGAAGAAUCCUAAGUCAGUCUCGCCCCCC